rnacentral:rRNA from 1 species
UACGAAGGGGGCUAGCGUUGUUCGGAAUUAUUGGGCGUAAAGGGCGCGUAGGCGGUGCGGUAAGUCUGUAGUGAAAUCUCUGGGCUCAACUCAGAGUCUGCUGCAGAAACUGCCGUGCUUGAGUGUGGGAGAGGUGAGUGGAAUUCCCGGUGUAGCGGUGAAAUGCGUAGAUAUCGUAAGGAAGACCAGUGGCGAAGGCGGGUCUCUGGACAGUUCCUGACGCUGAGGCACGAAGGUCAGGGGAGCAAACGGG